rnacentral:lncRNA from 1 species
ACGUGGUAGCAUCUUUGCCAUACAUCUACAGGUUACAACUUUUCAUGUUUUUGUUUUUUUUUAUGCAAACGCCUCACAGACAAAGCAAAUAAUACAUUCACAAUUCCAGAUCUAUCUCAGUAAAUGCUAAAAGGGCUUAAGAAAACAUUGUGGCUGCCUUACUGUGGACUGGAGCAAUUCGCUUAAAGGUUUGCUUUGGUGUUUUCUCGCGGUACAAGAUCUUGGUUUGCAUCAUUCAGUUCUCACCAGGAGGUCUGCCCAGUGCUUGCCCUUCGUUCACUAAAAAAGAAUGGAAUCCGGAUCCGUAAGUGACUUCCAUAAGCUUCGUUCACCUGCCGUGUGAUUUUUUUCAGUACCUUAUAGAGCUCUGUCCCCUCACAGACAGAUUUUAUAAUUGCAUAGCUUUGUCUGAUUAGCUCCUCCUUUUUCUUGCUGCUCGGGCCCUCAUGGACAGAUUUUAAAAUUACAUAUAGAUCCCAAAAGGAAAGACCGGGAAAUGAAGAGUGAACGACGACUUGGAUUUCAUGAUGGCUUAGGCUGAAAGGGAAAGGGACUUUAGUCUGCAGAGACGUCGCCGCCACCAGAAAAUCUGGCUUGAUUUUAGGAGUUCUUAAAUGCAGCGCCAGAGCAGGUGAGCUUAUUUGUGAUUAGUAAUUUGGUCAGAUUUUGUAUAUAAUUGCAGUGAUUGACUGACCAGUUUUGGUUUUUUUUUAAUUAAUUUAAUUUUUAGUUUGUGUUUUUACAAAAUAUCACUUGACAGUGAAGCUUUUUUUAUUAGGUGGCUUGGCAUGGAUUAAAAGGCUCUUUGUGGCUCUUAUUUAUACAUGGCUGGUUUGCUUGCAUUUCUUUGUGCUGGUACGUUUUUUUCCCCUAAGAAUUAAGGUGUUGACAUGCAUUUGGAUGUCUCAGUUGAGAUAGGUGAGAGUGGGUUGGUUCAGCAUGCUGAUGAAAAGAGAAGAGGAGUAUGGUUUUAAGCUGUUUCAGCUGACAGGCAUUUAAUGCACGUCAAGGUUGGCAUGUUGCUGCCAUUGUGAUGUGCAGUGUUUUUCUUAAGCGGGAAAUGUGGAGACAAGGUGAGGGGGCUGAUUUGUUAGUUUAAUUUUGACUUUAGUAGGUGAUGGGCUGUCCUGUUUGAAUAUUUUUAAGAACUCUAUUUUAUAUCUGGUCAUUUUUUCUUGAGCGAGAAAUGUGGAGACAAGGUGAGGGGGUUGAUUUGUUAGUUUAGUUCUGACUUGGGUAGGUGAUGGGUUGUCCUGUUGGAAUAUUUUUUAAGAGCUCUAUUUCAUAUCUGGUCAUAGCAAUCAUUUCUGUUUUGUGACAUCCAGUUACUUGCUUUUUAUCAUGUUGGUGGGCAUGUAUUUUCCUUUUUUCCUGCAAAGAUAUAUAAUGCUUUAAGGUUUACUUUUGGGUGUCAUGGCUCCUAACUUUUUCCCCGUGUUCUACUAAGACAAAGGUUAGUUUUUUAAAAUUAUUCUCUGCUUUUCCUCAGCUUUAGUUUCAAAUCAAUUUGGGUUGCAAGUUAUGAACUUUACUGUGUUUUUAAGAUUUGGCUCCUUUUAGUUGUCUUUAAUUUUUUUUACUUUUGUUGAACGAUUAUUUGUAGCAUUGUUUGUUGCCUUUUUUGUUAUUAGUAAAAUACCAAUCCUUAUGCCCCAAUAACAUUUGAUUAUAAACAUU